CUAACGUACCCGAAUCCAUCAAAAUCUAUACCCCUGUUAUGGGAGAUUUCGGCAGACACAGGAUACUUCCAUAUUGCACAAGCUGGGGGAUUUUGUUGUGUGCAAUACUACAAUACUACCAUAUUAUUGCACAAGCUGGGGGAUUCGCCUUGGCCUUUAUAUUUUCGCCUUGGCCAAAAUGAGAAAAAACUUGGCGUCGUCAGGUCGUUCAGCUUUCAGGUUGCAACAUUUUUACUGCAGUGGUGCUGGCUGCUGCAUUUAUUUAUUUUCGGUUUUUUUGCUAAAACCAUUGAGGAAAGAUUAAGGAACUUUUCUCUGAAUAUAAACACGGUCCAGCUGUCCGAAAACUAGGCGAAGCAUUUUACAUGACUACUCCACGUACACUUGCCACGCUUGCCAAAUUAAGUUACAAUGCGCACCUUUUGUUCGACAAAGGCAAUAAACACCGAACAACACC